rnacentral:lncRNA from 1 species
CCUCUUUUCUUUUGUUUGUUAUUUUCUUUGAAUAAGAGGAUUGAGAGUUUCUGAAUAUUGUGAAGUGAACUAUGGAAUGGAAAUGUGAUUGGUAUUAUUUGAGAAGAAGAAAGAUUGAAUGCUGAAAUCUGAUUGUAGUUCAGCAGAGAGAAUGAGUCUGUGUUUGUAUGAAACACUGUAAUGUGAAUGGCAGUUCUGUGUGAAGAAUUCUAGUGAUUGGAACGAAGGUAAUUGUGUACUGAAAGCUGUGAGGGCGCAGUAUUACAGUUGGAGAUUAUGAGGGUGAAUAUAUUGGUGGAAAUAGCAGUUAUUGGUAUGACUGAGUUGUUGUAAGGAAGAGACUAAUAAGGUGAAGGAGGAGAUUAUAGUUUCCUUGUGUGUUUAGAUAUUGGAAAUAAAGACGAUACAUUCAAGAGAUAAUUGAUUGUGUGACCCUAAUGUGAACGCUUAAGCAACUAGUCAUUCUCUGUGUUCGAAUCCCCUAUACGGAUUUAUUCUGGGAGGUUUCUUUCAGAAUAAGUAAAACGAUCAACCACAUUUUGGCGCCGCUGUCGGGGAGUGAUAAUAGCUUUGAGUGUUAGGAAUUAAUUACCAAACGUGUGAGAAAAUUGGCAAUGGAAGACGGUUUCAAUAGUGUUUGAAGCAAGAUUAUGGUUAAUAAGAAUGAGAGCAUUACAUCGAAAAAAAUAAAUCAGUUGAGAAAAAGACAUGGAAGAGCGUAAGGAAGAAACUUGCUUAGAGAGGAGUAAGAACGUAAUUUUAAAAGGAAGCAUCG